AGUGAACGCCGGCGGUAGGCCUAACACAUGCAAGUCGAACGGCAGCACAGUAAGAGCUUGCUCUUACGGGUGGCGAGUGGCGGACGGGUGAGGAAUACAUCGGAAUCUACUUUUUCGUGGGGGAUAACGUAGGGAAACUUACGCUAAUACCGCAUACGACCUACGGGUGAAAGCAGGGGAUCUUCGGACCUUGCGCGAUUGAAUGAGCCGAUGUCGGAUUAGCUAGUUGGCGGGGUAAAGGCCCUCCAAGGCGACGAUCCGUAGCUGGUCUGAGAGGAUGAUCAGCCACACUGGAACUGAGACACGGUCCAGACUCCUACGGGAGGCAGCAGUGGGGAAUAUUGGACAAUGGGCGCAAGCCUGAUCCAGCCACACCGCGUGGGUGAAGAAGGCCUUCGGGUUGUAAAGCCCCUUUGUUGGGAAAGAAAAGCAGCAGGUUAAUACCCCGCUGUUCUGACGGUACCCAAAGAAUAAGCACCGGCUAACUUCGUG
rnacentral:rRNA from 1 species